rnacentral:rRNA from 1 species
UACAGAGGGUGCAAGCGUUACUCGGAAUUACUGGGCGUAAAGCGUGCGUAGGCGGUUUUGUAAGUCAGGUGUGAAAGCCCCGGGCUCAACCUGGGAAUGGCAUUUGAGACUGCCUAGCUAGAGUACGGUAGAGGGUAGUGGAAUUCCCGGUGUAGCGGUGAAAUGCGUAGAUAUCGGAAGGAAGACCAGUGGCGAAGGCGGCUGACUGGACCAUUACUGACGUUGAGGCACGAAAGCGUGGGGAGCAAACAGG